rnacentral:rRNA from 1 species
UCCUACGGGGCGCAGCAGUGAGGAAUAUUGGUCAAUGGGCGCGAGCCUGAACCAGCCAAGUCGCGUGAGGGAGGACGGCCCUACGGGUUGUAAACCUCUUUUGCCGGGGAGCAACGGGCGUCACGUGUGGCGCCACUGAGAGUACCCGGAGAAAAAGCAUCGGCUAACUCCGUGCCAGCAGCCGCGGUAAUACGGAGGAUGCGAGCGUUAUCCGGAUUUAUUGGGUUUAAAGGGUGCGCAGGCGGAGGCACAAGUCAGCGGUAAAAUCGCGGGGCUCAACCCCGCUCCGCCGUUGAAACUGUGUC